rnacentral:rRNA from 1 species
GACAGAGGGUGCGAACGUUGUUCGGAAUUACUGGGCGUAAAGCGCAUGUAGGCGGCCGCGCAGGUCGGGUGUGAAAGCCCUGGGCUCAACCCAGGAAGUGCACUCGAAACCGCGCGGCUCGAGUCCCGGAGAGGAAGGUGGAAUUCUUGGUGUAGAGGUGAAAUUCGUAGAUAUCAGGAGGAACACCGGCGGCGAAAGCGGCCUUCGUGGACGAGGACUGACGCUGAGAUGCGAAAGCGUGGGGAGCAAACAGG